UUAUUUUAUAUUAAUAAUUUUGAAUUAUAAAUUUCAAAUUAAUAAAAAAUUAAUAAUAAUUAUUAAUUUAUUGUUUACUACUUUAACUUUGUAGCAAUAUUCCAAGUGUUAGUUUGUUGUUUGUAAUAAGAUUUUUUUUAUAUUUUCAUUGUUAAUUUUCUGUUUAAGUUUUUAUUUUGCCAUUUAUGACGGUAGAGUUGAAAAAAAUAAACAAGAAAUAACAAGGCAGAAUUUACACUAUUUCUUAUUGGAAACAAGAUGGAACUGAUAUUGAACUGUCAAAAGAUUAAAAACUCCUGCUAGUUGCUGUUGUUAUAUCAGGGAAGUUUAAAUUUUCUUAAUUGGAAUAUGAAAUUAAUGUAAAAAUGCUUACAGCAUAGCAAGUUUUGUAACCAGCAAAAUAACUGCCACAAGUUUUAUGGGUUGCAAAUAGGUUUUGCAAGUUUUGUGGCUUGAAAAUAAGUACAACAAGUUUUUUGACUAGCAAAUAAGUACCACAAGUUUUGUUGCUUGCAAAUAAGUACAGCAAGUUUUGUGGCUUGCAAAGAGGUACCACAAGUUUUGUGGCUUGCAAAUAUAGUACAGCAAGUUUUGUAGCUUACAAAUAGGUAUUGGAAGUUUUGUGGCUUGCAAAUAGGUACUGCAAAUUUUAUGACUUGCAAAAUAAGUAUCGCAAGUUUUGUUGCUUGCAAAUCAGGUACAGUAAGUUUUGUGGCUUGCAAGUAGGUACUGCAAGUUUUGUGGCUUGCGAAUUGAUAGUUGGCUCUGGCUUACCUUUACGUGGUGUCUAUUGUUAAAAAGUUGGAGUGGUUAAUCUGUUCCUUUACAUGAUAAUGUAUACUCAGAUGCAUUUUGUAAUGUGGUUGGAGUGUGUAAUCCGUCUUUUUUGACAAAAUGGUUACUCUGAUGCAUUUUCAAUUGCAAGUUUCCAAAUACAUGCAAAGUAAAAUUGUUGGCGACAUGGCACAUGUAUUAAAGUCUUCUGUCACAGUUGACUCAGCAAGAAUGAAGACAUUAAUACACUUUUGCAUACCUUUUGCAGGUAUAAGAAAUCCUUAUCUGUACGUAACAGACGAUGCCAACGAAGUGAUUAUUAUGUGUGGCAAAAGAUUAUUUUAUGAAGUUUUUCAUUUUCUGACUUCCUGAUGGAACUUAUUGGAGUACACUUUUUGUGAACAUAGGAGGAGUAUUGCCGCUACAAGCAUGAACAAUAAUAAAACAUUUCAAAGAAUAAUUUGUUAUUUCAACGAUUAGAUUUGUUGUUUAAAUGUAUAAAUGCUUGUUGAAUAUUCUUAUUAUAUA